GCUCUGCUCUUGCUGCUGCCUGGAUUCAUUUAAUAUGCAUUGUCCAUUUGCUCUAUCUACCCAAGCAGAACUUUAAAACUAUGGCCGUGGUCGGUCAUCNUCAAAGCAGAGAUUUAAAACUAUGAAACUUUAAAAAACUAAAAGCUUUUGAAAUGCUAAUGAAAUUUCUGCUCUCCUGCUACUUCACUUUAACGCAAAUGCNCAUUUUAAAAGUAGCGUAAAAGCAGGAGAGGUCCAUAACAAUGGGAAAAACUGGGGAGGGAACGGGGGGGCUAUUAUUUUGACAGCGCUGCUAUUAAAGAGAAGCGAAGAGAAAGAAUAAGAAUAAUCCUGCAGCUAUGCCAAAAGUGGGAGGGGGGAAUAAAAGGCAGGGAUCUCAACGUGCAGCUCAAUAGGUAAGAACUCGGCUGGAGCAAAGGAAUGUGGAAAUACAACUCAAGGCAGGCAGGCAGGGCGCAGAGGGAAGGGAGACAGAACUCGGCCGCUGCAACCACACGCGGCCAUGAGCACGGAGAAGUCGCCCGGGAAGCCCCACCUCGCUGCUCCCCAACAAGUUGCCCAGCCGGGCUACCGUUCAGGAAAGAGAAGUCAAAAUGUUCCAGCGUCACCUUCGGUCCUGAAUCAAGAAAAGGAGGCCUUCAGUUGCUGCGAUGGGGCCCACUUCCCUGAGAAUCAUCUAUAAAGACAAAACAGGGUGCCCUGAACCUUUUGGCUGUUCCCCUCCUUAGGAUGCAGGAUAUCCAGCUCUGCGUUUUAGAAUUCACCUCAUUUUUCCACAAGGCUCACUGCAGAAAGUGGACGAAAUGUGGCUGCACCUGCUCUACCUAAUCAAGGCUCCCUUUCCUAAAUACCUGCCUUGCUUCUUCAAGGGGUGUGUGUGUUUCCCAGGCACCUUCUAUCCCAUUGCUGAGAUGGCGGAAUUUGGCUGCAUGGUGGUUACAGUAGGAGUCUGCUGGGGAAAAAGUUAAGCGCAGCCAGUGUCUGCUUCUCUAUGGUUCUUGCUAAUGUGUCCUUCCUUGAUACAGCAUCUGAACAGUUCUAUUUAUAACUUGCUGAGGUAAAAAGUUAGACAAAGCUAAACUUCUCCCUCACACUCGCGUAGUAGAAUCAAAGGAUCUAAAUCUCAAGGCCUGAGGGUAAUGUCAGUCCAGGAGAAACUUCCCUGAUGAUUUACCUGUUUCAGCCACUCAGGAGGAAGGCAAAAGCUACUGACAUCUUUCUCCCUAAUUCCUCAUUUGCAGGCUUCUAUUUAGGCUAAAAACAAGCCUGGCGAACAGCUGCUGCCAUUCCCUGGCACAACAGAAAAGAGGUGCUCUGAAAGUACAAUUUGUGCCUAAAAUAACUCAGAUACUCUCUCACAUGAUAAUAAUGAUCUUUUUAUUAAUAAUGAUCUUUUUUUAAAUAACAGUAAUAAUAAAAUCUGUCCUUGGUUCUGUUUGUGUAGCCUC
rnacentral:lncRNA from 1 species